UUGUGAGGAAGUCCAGAAAAGGAAUGUUGCAAAUGGCCUGGUGAAUAUUACUCACUGUAAUUUCUUUGGGAAUCCUGGUCCAAAACACAAAGGGUGUUACCAGGUGAAAUUCUCUCACGUAUAUCUCAUCAUUUAUUCACUUAACUCACCACAGGGACCAUCCCAGGCAGAGGCCCCGUGGAGAGGGCUCCUGAGCCACAGACAUAGCUUAGGGCCACUCUGGGGUGAGGACUGCCUUCCUGUCAUAGGCAUGAGAAGGAUGUCAACAAGUUGGUUGAAUGAUUAGGAAAAAAGAUACUGAGAAAAGAGAAAGAAAACAAAGCGGAUGGCAGAAUGGAAUGACACAUUUGUGAGUGAGUCUCAGCAGACCGAAAGCUGAGUCAAAGCACCACAAAACUCUGGGACCUUAUUUCCCAUCUCCUGGAAAGACGGGAGACGGAGCCACGCCAGGCCAGGCGUGAUGUUAAUCGUUCCAUCAAAAGCACCUAAGUCACUCUACCCCUCCAGAACAGGGAGCACAGAGGCUGGAGUGCAGUGGCACGAUCUUGGCUCAGUGCAACCUCCGCCUCCCAGGUUCAAGCGAUUCUCCUGCCUCAGCCUCCCAAGUAGCUGGGAUUACUAGGCACCCACCUUCAGGAUCAUGUCCUCCACCACGGACGCAUACACGUUCCUGUGGAGUGCCACGGGCUGCAGGGUGAUCCCAAUCUGGAAAAGCAGAAGAAAGCCGUUUGUUCGUAUCGCUGCUUUAGAAACAGCCUCUCUCCAAACAAGCAUACCUCCCUGACAUGCAAAGCGAUGCCUGGCUGGAAGGAGGACUCUGCAAACAU
rnacentral:antisense_RNA from 1 species